AUUCGACAUUUUAAUGAGGCUUGCAAACUGACGAAUUUUUUUCGAUUAUCCGGUCCUCUGUUAAACGAAAACAUCCGCCUAUCUCUGUUUACCAAAAAUGUAAAACAAAUUUGGGAAUUAAAAAUAUUUGCUAUACGUUUGCCACUAGACAACUGUCCAACACGCCCGGAUAGGGGUGCUACGAUAUCUCUACGUUUCAGGUUCAGGCUAUGGAUCAGGAAGGAGUUUAACGCUUUAAAUAUUUUACACCUUUGAACAUCAAGACAGCUUUUUGGACAGUCGCGGCUUCGUAGGCACUGCACAGUGGUCGGUCUUGUAUGGGAACAGCGGCCAAAAAUACUUAUAGGGGAGCUAUUGUACUGAAAUUUGUAUUGAAAUUAGAUUAGAUCAGAUGACUAUAUCCCAUAGCUCCCAUAUAACUGAACGAUUCAGAAUAAAAUCUUAGCGCAACAA